CGGUUAUCAUGGUACCGCUGCUGUAUAUAUGAAAGGUACAGUACUGUGAUAACUGAA
rnacentral:pre_miRNA from 1 species